rnacentral:lncRNA from 1 species
GCAACCCUAAAGAAAGCUCAGUUACUGUUCCAUUCAUUCUAGCAGCCGCCAAGCCAUCUUGGGUCUUCCCAAUCCAUCAGUCAUCCAUCAUUGGUGCUUUCAACUCCUCCUGCCGGUGACCAACUGAAGAUCUUCAGAAGAAUCGAAGUCCUACAAAAAAAAAGCAUUACAAAAGCAUGUUCUCUGCUUAAGAGAUCCAAAACAGGGAUGUAUUCUUCUAAUCCAAUCAAUAGCAUUCAUUAUUAUUAAAUACAUCACUGGUUUUUUUUUAGAUCACGGAAACAGUAAAGGAAGAGCUAAAGAGGUUUUGUAAAGCCAUAAAAAAAAAAAUUUACAAACAACUCUCCAAAGCUUGUUCUCUGCUUAAGAGAUCCGGAUCAGGGACGCAAAAAAAAAACUCCCUUAUCUUUACUUUAACUUCCAAUCAGUAAACAAAUUUUUGUUUUUCAGAAAAAAAAAGAAAAGAAAAAGAAAAGAGAUUAUAUAUGGCUGAAUCAAUGGAUGUUCAACUUAAAAGGCUACAAAUAAAACAAGAUACUGAAGCUGAGAGGCUGAGAAACAUGGAGAAGACCCUAUCCAAAAUGAGUGAAACACUACUGUUAAUCAGCAAUCCAGAGGCAAAAAAUCAGCAGAAACAGGAGAUGAAAUAUAAAUCCAUCAGAACUGAAAUGCCUAAAUUUGAUGGGGAAAAUGUGCAGGGCUGGCUAUAUAAAGCAAAAAAAUACCUAAGAUAUCACAAUAUACCUGAUGAGGAAAGGAUCACAAUAGCCACAUUCAAUAUGGAAGGAGAGGCAUUAGAAUGGCUUCUAUGGGCAGACAACAACAAUGAACUCAAGUCAUGGUCUGAUUUUAUCGAUGAUCUGGUUAGAAGAUUUGGUACAUCAGCUUAUGAAAUACCUGCUGGAAGACUUAGCAAAUUG